GCUCCUUAAAGGCGCAGGCCUGCAGCCUGGCUCCCGCGGCUGCCAACUCCGGGACGGCUGCCGCAGGUGCCCCUUUAAUCUGGGAGAGAACUUUCAUUUUGCCGAAUGGAGUGUCUGAGUCCCGACCAGCUCCUUACUCUACCGCAUUUCGAAUACGCGUUGACUUACUCCUGCUAGAGCAAAGCCUGGGACGCGGAGGGGGCUCGGUGGGACCUCCCCAACUUGGUAAAUAGAGUCACUGAGAGACCCACCCACGUACCCAGCAGUGUCGCCAGGCCCCUACAGGGACCCACUAACUCGUCCGCCAGUCUGUGCCCGACUUCUCUCACCGAGUCAGUGUCCUCUUGGUGUGAGGGAAGACAGGUAUCGGUGCCUCUCUAGGGAUAACUGCAGUCUGAGUUCGGAGACUCGGGAGGAAGGGGGGAAGUGAGAGCCCCAGAAAGCAACCGAGGCCCAGUUCCUGGGGACUGUGCAAA